AGAUGUGAGGGCAAUCUGGCUGCGACAUCUGUCACCCCAUUGAUCGCCAGGGUUGAUUUGGCUGAUCUGGCUGGCUAGACGGGUAUCCCCUUCCUCCCUCACCACUCCAUGUGUGUCCCUCCUGAAGCUGCCCACUCGGUCAAAGAGGACAACCAUCCCCAAUAGAGGAAGACUGUUCUUCAGUCAAGGGUAUAUGAGUAGCUGCGCUCCUCUGCUAGAACCUCCAAACAAGCUCUCAAAAGACACCAUUCGGCAAACUGGAUUAAAAAGGAAGAUCCGACAAUCUGUUGUUUACAAGAGACCCACCUUAU
rnacentral:snRNA from 1 species